rnacentral:tRNA from 1 species
GGAGAGAUGGUCGAGCGGUUUAUGGCUCCAGUCUUGAAAACUGGCAUAGUCUUAAUAUCUAUCGAGGGUUCGAAUCCCUCUCUCUCCU